rnacentral:rRNA from 1 species
GCUACACAUGCAGUCGAACGGUAGCACAGAGAGCUUGCUCUCGGGUGACGAGUGGCGGACGGGUGAGUAAUGUCUGGGAAACUGCCUGAUGGAGGGGGAUAACUACUGGAAACGGUAGCUAAUACCGCAUAACGUCGCAAGACCAAAGAGGGGGACCUUCGGGCCUCUUGCCAUCAGAUGUGCCCAGAUGGGAUUAGCUAGUAGGUGGGGUAACGGCUCACCUAGGCGACGAUCCCUAGCUGGUCUGAGAGGAUGACCAGCCACACUGGAACUGAGACACGGUCCAGACUCCUACGGGAGGCAGCAGUGGGGAAUAUUGCACAAUGGGCGCAAGCCUGAUGCAGCCAUGCCGCGUGUAUGAAGAAGGCCUUCGGGUUGUAAAGUACUUUCAGCGGGGAGGAAGGUGUUGUGGUUAAUAACCACAGCAAUUGACGUUACCCGCAGAAGAAGCACCGGCUAACUCCGUGCCAGCAGCCGCGGUAAUACGGAGGGUGCAAGCGUUAAUCGGAAUUACUGGGCGUAAAGCGCACGCAGGCGGUCUGUCAAGUCGGAUGUGAAAUCCCCGGGCUCAACCUGGGAACUGCAUUCGAAACUGGCAGGCUGGAGUCUUGUAGAGGGGGGUAGAAUUCCAGGUGUAGCGGUGAAAUGCGUAGAGAUCUGGAGGAAUACCGGUGGCGAAGGCGGCCCCCUGGACAAAGACUGACGCUCAGGUGCGAAAGCGUGGGGAGCAAACAGGAUUAGAU